rnacentral:rRNA from 1 species
GACGAACGCUGGCGGCGUGCUUAACACAUGCAAGUCGAACGGAAAGGCCUUUUCGGAGGUACUCGAGUGGCGAACGGGUGAGUAACACGUGGGUGAUCUGCCCUGCACUCUGGGAUAAGCCUGGGAAACUGGGUCUAAUACCGGAUAGGACCGCACUUUAGUGUAUGUGGUGGAAAGUUUUUUCGGUGUAGGAUGAGCCCGCGGCCUAUCAGCUUGUUGGUGGGGUAAUGGCCUACCAAGGCGGCGACGGGUAGCCGGACUGAGAGGUUGGUCGACCACAUUGGGACUGAGAUACGGCCCAGACUCCUACGGGAGGCAGCAGUGGGGAAUAUUGCACAAUGGGCGCAAGCCUGAUGCAGCGACGCCGCGUGGGGGAUGACGGCCUUCGGGUUGUAAACUCCUUUCGCCAGGGACGAAGCGUUUUGUGACGGUACCUGGAGAAGAAGCACCGGCUAACUACGUG